rnacentral:rRNA from 1 species
CAGUAGCCGCGGUAAUACGCAGGUGGCAAGCGUUGUCCGGAAUUAUUGGGCGUAAAGGGCUCGCAGGCGGUUUCUUAAGUCUGAUGUGAAAGCCCCCGGCUCAACCGGGGAGGGUCAUUGGAAACUGGGAAACUUGAGUGCAGAAGAGGAGAGUGGAAUUCCACGUGUAGCGGUGAAAUGCGUAGAGAUGUGGAGGAACACCAGCGGCGAAGGCGACUCUCUGGUCUGUAACUGACGCUGAGGAGCGAAAGCGUGGGGAGCGAACAGGAUUAGAUACCCCCGUAGUCCCUGUCUCUUAUAC